rnacentral:lncRNA from 1 species
CACGUACUUUAAUUUUUGUCAACUAUAUUUUAUUAGUCGUUUUGCAGUAGUUAUGACUUAUGAGAGCCUUUUUAUUAUUAUUUAAGUUGGAUUCUAUUUCUUUAUUUGAGUUAUUCUAGGCUAAUGAAUUUGUUCUAUUAUAAAUGGAGUGGUUAUUUUUUUUUUUAAAUCAUUGUGGUUAAUAAAAAUCACUUCUUAUAAUUCUAAAGGGAUUAUUUAUCAAAAUUUC